GGCUUGAGGGUGCACAGACCAUCACACUGUCUACACUGAGAAAAACUCUUUGAGCCAUUUAUUGCCAGAUUCCUUCUUCUUCUGGAGUCCCUGACUUUUAAUGUUGCUUUUUUUAAUGUUCACCUUUUAUGGAUGGAUACUCCAGGCCUUGACAGGAGGUUGCUGAGGGCUCAGAAGAAUGCCUGGCAGCUGAGAGUGCAAAAGUGAUUUCCUGGCCACAGGUGACCAGUCUGGAGAGUGAGACAUGAGCCAAAAUAGGAACACAGCAGGAAGGAAAGGAGCAAAGACAAAGGAGGUUUGUGGAAAGGAGGAAUUCCAGAGGCCUCUCUGGACUGAGGUCUCCUGAAGUGAGGUAGAGGAGGAAUACAGAAGCAGA